CCUACGGGCGGCUGCAGUGGGGAAUAUUGGACAAUGGGCGAAAGCCUGAUCCAGCAAUGCCGCGUGAGUGAUGAAGGCCUUAGGGUUGUAAAGCUCUUUUACCAGGGAUGAUAAUGACAGUACCUGGAGAAUAAGCUCCGGCUAACUCCGUGCCAGCAGCCGCGGUAAUACGGAGGGAGCUAGCGUUGUUCGGAAUUACUGGGCGUAAAGCGCACGUAGGCGGCUACUCAAGUCAGAGGUGAAAGCCCAGGGCUCAACCCUGGAACUGCCUUUGAAACUAGGUAGCUAGAAUCUUGGAGAGGUCAGUGGAAUUCCGAGUGUAGAGGUGAAAUUCGUAGAUAUUCGGAAGAACACCAGUGGCGAAGGCGACUGACUGGACAAGUAUUGACGCUGAGGUGCGAAAGCGUGGGGAGCAAACAGGAUUAGAUACCCCAGUAGUC
rnacentral:rRNA from 1 species